rnacentral:sRNA from 1 species
GAUGGUUUGUUGGGCGCCAGUAUCAAACAGCAUUACAGCUUUUUCGAAUGUCUCUACCUUGGAACUAUCAUCAACACCUUCGAGGAUCACCUUUGCAGUUAUUGUGGCUAAAUUUUGCGAUUCAAGAGCAGCUGGGAUCACAACUGGAUAUGGUUCUUUGUACGGUGGGAAAGGCUGGGCAUUCUCUUUCGCACGCUGUUUCAUUUGUGGUGAUGGUGGAGUGGGUAGGGGGACUUGGUUCGUGUCAUAUUGAAGUCGAAUGGGCUUGGUAAGGCUUGUGCUGGCGUCGAAUGAUGCCUGUGCCUGUACUUGUUGAAGAGCUUGGUUCCUGAGGUCACGCUUCCUUAGGGCGGGGAUUGGGGGGUCGAUGGAUAUCUUUCUGUCCAAUCCAGUAAGACUCCCGGAAACCGUUUCAAGGCAUUUCUGCCAAGUUGUUUCAUAUGGGGUGGACACUCUAAGAUCCGGCAAAGCAGUGUUAAUGGCCUUUCCCACAUGGGAGAGGAGAUGGAAAGGGUGAAACGCGACUACUCUCGUUGUAGCCUCUUCAGUUGGCUUAGAGUCUGUUGCAAGGUUGUUCAUUUUGGCGUUGCGACAGUGCGAGUUAUCGAUGGAAUAACAGCACAAACUUGAAUCGUUAAGGCUCACACACUUGCAGUUCAAGCAGACGAGACUCUGAUCGUUGUUUGUCAUGGGUUAUGAGGUUUGUGGGAUGGACGGCGCCUACCUCUUUUAGAGAAGGCAAUUAUCUCUUCACCUUAAAUCAAGUUUAUUUAACGUAUUAUUAAAACCUGACAGGAAAGAAGAGUUAGAUGAAGAUAUCACCGCGGGCAAGGAACAAUGUGAGGCCUAGACCCUACGCAGGAGCAACCCCCCUGGCUCUACAUUGCUCCCACUGUAGUUAGGCCGACUGCAUGGAGCAAUGCAGGUGAUGCAUGUUAUUGCCACGAGGGUACCGCUGGAUGGAAGCAAAAUGAUAACAAAAAAAGAAAAGAGCAAACAAAGGAGAUGAGCACAGAUCUCAAGCAAGCAUCAAUGAAUCUAGUAGCUUUGAGCGAGAAGAACAGUGGAAAUUUUGCAAGUAGUGGAGACUCUCAAAUGCCCUUUAAUGAAAUGCACCACGAUCAAGGAAGCUAUGGUAUGGAUAUAUAUCGUUUGAGGGUUGCUAAAGCAGCUUCACGAUAAAAUUUGGCAGCUUCCUGUGUGUCCCAAAGAAAUGCGGAUGUAGCUAACUACCUGUCAGUUUUAGCAGCAAUUAAAAGAGACAGUGGCAUGGGUGUAGCUAUGUGGAAUCUAGAAUGUAAUGCUUCGAGAACUCGUCAGGGUGCUAGUCUGCUGGUGCUGGUGAUGCUGGUUGUUGUUGUUGUUCUUGUGUUAUUGUGUUGUUGCUGGAGAUGAAGUUGUCCACAUAUGCGGAGGAGGCGGAUUCCAUUUUGGGCAAUUGUCACCUCAGCCCAUCCCUCCUUAUCAAACCGAAUAAGGUUCGAAUUGGAUACA